rnacentral:rRNA from 1 species
UCCUACGGGGGGCAGCAGUGAGGAAUAUUGGUCAAUGGGCGCGAGCCUGAACCAGCCAAGUCGCGUGAGGGAAGACGGUCCUAUGGAUUGUAAACCUCUUUUGUCGGGGAGCAAAAGACGCCACGCGUGGCGUUCCGAGAGUACCCGAAGAAAAAGCAUCGGCUAACUCCGUGCCAGCAGCCGCGGUAAUACGGAGGAUCCGAGCGUUAUCCGGAUUUAUUGGGUUUAAAGGGAGCGUAGGUGGAUUGUUAAGUCAGUUGUGAAAGUUUGCGGCUCAACCGUAAAAUUGCAGUUGAAACUGGCAG